rnacentral:snoRNA from 10 species
AAUAAUAUAAUACUGAUUUCUCUGUGUUAUAAAUCUUCAGUUUAGUAUCCUAAAGAGGUCUGGAAGCUGACAGAGAAAACAAGCAAAGCAGCACAGUGAAGCGGGGCCAUGCUCUUCACCCACGC